GGAAACAGAUGCUAAUACCGGAUAACAACAGAUGAUGCCUAUCAACUGUUUAAAAGAUGGUUCUGCUAUCACUCUUGGAUGGACCUGCGGUGCAUUAGCUAGUUUGUAGGGUAACGGCCUACCAAGGCGAUGAUGCAUAGCCGAGUUGAGAGACUGAUCGGCCACAUUGGGACUGAGACACGGCCCAAACUCCUACGGGAGGCAGCAGUG
rnacentral:rRNA from 1 species